UGCCAGCAGCCGCGGUAAUACGAAGGGUGCUAGCGUUGUUCGGAAUUACUGGGCGUAAAGGGCGCGUAGGCGGACCUAUCAGUCAGUGGUGAAAUCCCAGGGCUCAACCCUGGAACUGCCUUUAAAACUCCCAGUCUUGAGUUCGAGAGAGGUGAGUGGAAUUCCGAGUGUAGAGGUGAAAUUCGUAGAUAUUCGGAGGAACACCAGUGGCGAAGGCGGCUCACUGGCUCGAUACUGACGCUGAGGUGCGAAAGCGUGGGGAGCAAACAGGAUUAGAUA
rnacentral:rRNA from 1 species